rnacentral:lncRNA from 1 species
AAAUACAAAUACGAACUAUAAAAUUUAAAUACAAAUGCGAACUUUAAAAUACAAAUACAAAUACAGUUGUAUCAAUAAAUAUAAAAAUAUAAAUGGUGGUGUGACUACAAAUACGAUAAAUAAUUAUGGUAUUUACGUUAUCAUCCAUGACUUGUGCUCGACUAGUCAUAUUUUUGAAAAAUACAAAAAAUAUAAAAAUAGAACAAAAAAUUAAUAAAGAAAAUAAGUACAAAAAUUAAAAUCAAAGAAGAAAAGAAAAGAAGAAUGAGAAAUAGAAAUUAGAGAUUAAAGAGAGAAAAAAAAAAAGAAACGAAAAAAAUAAAAGUAGGAAAAAAUAGAAAAAAGAAGAAGAAAAAAUGGGAAAAACACAAUAAAUAAAAAAAGAUAAUGGUAGUGUUAGGCAAGAAAAUGUUCAGUUCAACG